rnacentral:rRNA from 1 species
AUCUACAGGCUUAACACAUGCAAGUCGAGGGGCAGCAUUUUAGUUUGCUUGCAAACUGAAGAUGGCGACCGGCGCACGGGUGAGUAACACGUAUCCAACCUGCCGAUAACUCCGGAAUAGCCUUUCGAAAGAAAGAUUAAUACCGGAUAGCAUACGAAUAUCGCAUGAUAUUUUUAUUAAAGAAUUUCGGUUAUCGAUGGGGAUGCGUUCCAUUAGUUUGUUGGCGGGGUAACGGCCCACCAAGACUACGAUGGAUAGGGGUUCUGAGAGGAAGGUCCCCCACAUUGGAACUGAGACACGGUCCAAACUCCUACGGGAGGCAGCAGUGAGGAAUAUUGGUCAAUGGGCGAGAGCCUGAACCAGCCAAGUAGCGUGAAGGAUGAAGGCUCUAUGGGUCGUAAACUUCUUUUAUAUGGGAAUAAAGUUUUCCACGUGUGGAAUUUUGUAUGUACCAUAUGAAUAAGGAUCGGCUAACUCCGUGCCAGCAGCCGCGGUAAUACGGAGGAUCCGAGCGUUAUCCGGAUUUAUUGGGUUUAAAGGGAGCGUAGGUGGAUUGUUAAGUCAGUUGUGAAAGUUUGCGGCUCAACCGUAAAAUUGCAGUUGAAACUGGCAGUCUUGAGUACAGUAGAGGUGGGCGGAAUUCGUGGUGUAGCGGUGAAAUGCUUAGAUAUCACGAAGAACUCCGAUUGCGAAGGCAGCUCACUAGACUGUCACUGACACUGAUGCUCGAAAGUGUGGGUAUCAAACAGGAUUAGAUACCCUGGUAGUCCACACAGUAAACGAUGAAUACUCGCUGUUUGCGAUAUACAGUAAGCGGCCAAGCGAAAGCAUUAAGUAUUCCACCUGGGGAGUACGCCGGCAACGGUGAAACUCAAAGGAAUUGACGGGGGCCCGCACAAGCGGAGGAACAUGUGGUUUAAUUCGAUGAUGCGCGAGGAACCUUACCCGGGCUUAAAUUGCAACAGAAUAUAUUGGAAACAGUAUAGCCGUAAGGCUGUUGUGAAGGUGCUGCAUGGUUGUCGUCAGCUCGUGCCGUGAGGUGUCGGCUUAAGUGCCAUAACGAGCGCAACCCUUAUCUUUAGUUACUAACAGGUUAUGCUGAGGACUCUAGAGAGACUGCCGUCGUAAGAUGUGAGGAAGGUGGGGAUGACGUCAAAUCAGCACGGCCCUUACGUCCGGGGCUACACACGUGUUACAAUGGGGGGUACAGAAGGCGGCUACCUGGUGACAGGAUGCUAAUCCCAAAAACCUCUCUCAGUUCGGAUCGAAGUCUGCAACCCGACUUCGUGAAGCUGGAUUCGCUAGUAAUCGCGCAUCAGCCAUGGCGCGGUGAAUACGUUCCCGGGCCUUGUACACACCGCCCGUCAAGCCAUGAAAGCCGGGGGUACCUGAAGUACGUAACCGCAAGGAGCGUCCUAGGGUAAAACUGGUAAUUGGGGCUAAGUCG